rnacentral:rRNA from 1 species
UUGACCUCAGAUCAGGUAGGAAUACCCGCUGAACUUAAGCAUAUCAAUAAGCGGAGGAAAAGAAACCAACAGGGAUUGCCUCAGUAACGGCGAGUGAAGCGGCAACAGCUCAAAUUUGAAAUCUGGCCCUAGGCCCGAGUUGUAAUUUGCAGAGGAUGUUUCUGGCGAGGUGCCUUCCGAGUUCCCUGGAACGGGACGCCAUAGAGGGUGAGAGCCCCGUACGGUUGGUCGCUAAGCCUCUGUGAAACUCCUUCGACGAGUCGAGUAGUUUGGGAAUGCUGCUCUAAAUGGGAGGUAUACGUCUUCUAAAGCUAAAUACCGGCCAGAGACCGAUAGCGCACAAGUAGAGUGAUCGAAAGAUGAAAAGCACUUUGAAAAGAGGGUUAAAUAGUACGUGAAAUUGUUGAAAGGGAAGCGCUUAUGACCAGACUUGGACCGGUUGAUCAUCCAUCGUUCUCGGUGGUGCACUCUGCCGGUUCAGGCCAGCAUCAGUUUGUCCCGGGGGAUAAAGGCUUUGGGAAUGUGGCUCUUCGGAGUGUUAUAGCCCACUGCGUAAUACCCUGGG